CGGGCUAAACCCGCGUACAUGCCACCGGGGCAUCCCGGAGGCAGGAAAGGCUUCGGCCGGACAGGGAUGGGCAUGCGGCGCAUUAGGCAGUAGGCGGGGUAACGGCCCACCUAACCGACGAUGCGUAGGGGUUCUGAGAGGAAGGUCCCCCACACUGGUACUGAGACACGGACCAGACUCCUACGGGAGGCAGCAGUGAGGAAUAUUGGUCAAUGGUCGGGAGACUGAACCAGCCAAGCCGCGUGAGGGAGGAAGGUACAGAGUAUCGUAAACCUCUUUUGUCAGGGAACAGAGACUGGGACGCGUCCCCGGAUGAGUGUACCUGAAGAAAAAGCAUCGGCUAACUCCGUGCCAGCAGCCGCGGUAAUACGGAGGAUGCGAGCGUUAUCCGGAUUUAUUGGGUUUAAAGGGUGCGCAGGCGGUCUGUUAAGUCAGCGGUCAAAGCCCGGGGCUCAACCCCGGCCCGCCGUUGAAACUGGCAGUCUCGAGUUGGAGAGAAGUAUGCGGAAUGCGCGGUGUAGCGGUGAAAUGCAUAGAUAUCGCGCAGAACUCCGAUUGCGAAGGCAGCAUGCCGGCUCCACACUGACGCUGAGGCACGAAAGCGUGGGUAUCGAACAGGAUUAGAUACCCUGGUAGUCCACGCAGUAAACGA
rnacentral:rRNA from 1 species